GAUGAACGCUGGCGGCGUGCCUAAUACAUGCAAGUCGAGCGAACGGACGAGAAGCUUGCUUCUCUGAUGUUAGCGGCGGACGGGUGAGUAACACGUGGAUAACCUACCUAUAAGACUGGGAUAAAUUCGGGAAACCGGAGCUAAUACCGGAUAAUAUUUUGAACCGCAUGGUUCAAAAGUGAAAGACGGUCUUGCUGUCACUUAUAGAUGGAUCCGCGCUGCAUUAGCUAGUUGGUAAGGUAACGGCUUACCAAGGCAACGAUGCAUAGCCGACCUGAGAGGGUGAUCGGCCACACGGGGACUGAGACACGGUCCAGACUCCUACGGGAGGCAGCAGUAGGGAAUCUUCCGCAAUGGGCGAAAGCCUGACGGAGCAACGCCGCGUGAGUGAUGAAGGUCUUCGGAUCGUAAAACUCUGUUAUUAGGGAAGAACAUAUGUGUAAGUAACUGUGCACAUCUUGACGGUACCUAAUCAGAAAGCCACGGCUAACUACGUG
rnacentral:rRNA from 1 species